UGGGGAAUCUUGGACAAUGGGCGCAAGCCUGAUCCAGCCAUGCCGCGUGUGUGAAGAAGGUCUUCGGAUUGUAAAGCACUUUAAGUUGGGAGGAAGGGCAUUAACCUAAUACGUUAGUGUUUUGACGUUACCGACAGAAUAAGCACCGGCUAACUCUGUGCCAGCAGCCGCGGUAAUACAGAGGGUGCAAGCGUUAAUCGGAAUUACUGGGCGUAAAGCGCGCGUAGGCGGGCUAUUAAGUCAGGGGUGAAAUCCCGAGGCUCAACCUCGGAACUGCCUUUGAUACUGAUAGUCUUGAGAUCGGGAGAGGUGAGUGGAAUUUCCGGUGUAGCGGUGAAAUGCGUAGAUAUCGGAAGGAACAUCAGUUGCGAAGGCGGCUCUCUGGACUCAAACUGACGCUGAGGCACGAAAGCGUGGGUAGCGAACAGGAUUAGAUACCCCGGUAGUCCCUGAGCGGGCUGGCAAGGCGCAU
rnacentral:rRNA from 1 species